UACGAAGGGGGCGAGCGUUGUUCGGAUUUACUGGGCGUAAAGGGCGCGUAGGCGGCAUUCCAAGUCAGGGGGUGAAAUCCGGCAGCUCAACUGUCGAAGUGCCUUUGAUACUGGAGUGCUCGAGGGAGGUAGGGGUCUGUGGAACUUCUGGUGGAGCGGUGAAAUGCGUAGAUAUCGAGAGGAACACCUGCGGCGAAGGCGGGUUGCUGGGCCGACACGUGACGCUGAUGCGCGAAAGCCAGGGGAGCGAACGGG
rnacentral:rRNA from 1 species